UUACGGAAGGCAGCAGUGGGGAAUAUUGCGCAAUGGGCGGAAGCCUGACGCAGCGACGCCGCGUGAGGGAUGACGGCCUUCGGGUUGUAAACCUCUUUCAGCAGGGACGAAGCGCAAGUGACGGUACCUGCAGAAGAAGCACCGGCCAACUACGUGCCAGCAGCCGCGGUAAUACGUAGGGUGCAAGCGUUGUCCGGAAUUAUUGGGCGUAAAGAGCUCGUAGGCGGUUCGUCGCGUCGGCUGUGAAAACCCGGAGCUCAACUCCGGGCCUGCAGUCGAUACGGGCGGACUCGAGUUCGGCAGGGGAGACUGGAAUUCCUGGUGUAGCGGUGAAAUGCGCAGAUAUCAGGAGGAACACCGGUGGCGAAGGCGGGUCUCUGGGCCGAUACUGACGCUGAGGAGCGAAAGCGUGGGGAGCGAACAGGAUUAGAUACCCUGGU
rnacentral:rRNA from 1 species